ACUCAAAUGAAUUGACGGGGGCUCACACAAGCGGUGGAGCAUGUGGCUCAAUUCGAAGCGACGCGAAGAACCUUAUCCUGGGUUUGACAUGCACGGAUUAGCCUCGAGAAACCGAGGUGACACUCUUGUAGUGGAACGUGCACAGGUGCUGCAUGGCUGUCGUCAGCUCGUGCUGUGAAGUGUUUGGUUAAGUCCCUUAACGAGCGCAACCCCUGUCGCCAGUUGCCAACAGGUAAUGCUGGGGACUCUGGUGAGACUGCCGGUGUUAAACCGGACGAAGGUGGGGAUGACGUCAAGUCCGCAUGGCCUUUAUGCCCAGGGCUGCACACGUGCUACAAUGGCGCGCACAGAACGACGCAAGACCGCAAGGUGGAGCAAAUCGCUCAAAACGCGCCCCAGUUCGGAUUGAGGGCUGCAACCCGCCCUCAUGAAGUUGGAAUCGCUAGUAAUCGCGGAUCAGCUACGCCGCGGUGAAUGUGUUCCUGAGCCUUGUACACACCGCCCGU
rnacentral:rRNA from 1 species